rnacentral:rRNA from 1 species
CGUGCCUAAUACAUGCAAGUCGAGCGAACAGAGAAGGAGCUUGCUCCUUUGACGUUAGCGGCGGACGGGUGAGUAACACGUGGGCAACCUACCCUAUAGUUUGGGAUAACUCCGGGAAACCGGGGCUAAUACCGAAUAAUCUGUUGUCUCUCAUGAGACAAUUCUAAAAGACGGUUUCGGCUGUCGCUAUAGGAUGGGCCCGCGGCGCAUUAGCUAGUUGGUGAGGUAACGGCUCACCAAGGCAACGAUGCGUAGCCGACCUGAGAGGGUGAUCGGCCACACUGGGACUGAGACACGGCCCAGACUCCUACGGGAGGCAGCAGUAGGGAAUCUUCCACAAUGGGCGAAAGCCUGAUGGAGCAACGCCGCGUGAGUGAAGAAGGAUUUCGGUUCGUAAAACUCUGUUGUAAGGGAAGAACAAGUACAGUAGUAACUGGCUGUACCUUGACGGUACCUUAUUAGAAAGCCACGGCUAACUACGUGCCAGCAGCCGCGGUAAUACGUAGGUGGCAAGCGUUGUCCGGAAUUAUUGGGCGUAAAGCGCGCGCAGGUGGUUUCUUAAGUCUGAUGUGAAAGCCCACGGCUCAACCGUGGAGGGUCAUUGGAAACUGGGAGACUUGAGUGCAGAAGAGGAUAGUGGAAUUCCAAGUGUAGCGGUGAAAUGCGUAGAGAUUUGGAGGAACACCAGUGGCGAAGGCGACUAUCUGGUCUGUAACUGACACUGAGGCGCGAAAGCGUGGGGAGCAAACAGGAUUAGAUACCCUGGUAGUCCACGCCGUAAACGAUGAGUGCUAAGUGUUAGGGGGUUUCCGCCCCUUAGUGCUGCAGCUAACGCAUUAAGCACUCCGCCUGGGGAGUACGGUCGCAAGACUGAAACUCAAAGGAAUUGACGGGGGCCCGCACAAGCGGUGGAACAUGUGGUUUAAUUCGAAGCAACGCGAAGAACCUUACCAGGUCUUGACAUCCCAUUGACCACUGUAGAGAUACAGUUUUCCCUUCGGGGACAACGGUGACAGGUGGUGCAUGGUUGUCGUCAGCUCGUGUCGUGAGAUGUUGGGUUAAGUCCCGCAACGAGCGCAACCCUUGAUCUUAGUUGCCAUCAUUUAGUUGGGCACUCUAAGGUGACUGCCGGUGACAAACCGGAGGAAGGUGGGGAUGACGUCAAAUCAUCAUGCCCCUUAUGACCUGGGCUACACACGUGCUACAAUGGACGAUACAAACGGUUGCCAACUCGCGAGAGGGAGCUAAUCCGAUAAAGUCGUU